rnacentral:rRNA from 1 species
UACGUAGGGGGCUAGCGUUGUCCGGAUUUAUUGGGCGUAAAGAGCGUGUAGGCGGCCAGGUAGGUCUGGUGUGAAAACUCGAGGCUCAGCCUCGAGACGCCGGUGGAAACCGUAAAGCUAGAGUCCGGAAGAGGAGAGUGGAAUUCCUGGUGUAGCGGUGAAAUGCGCAGAUAUCAGGAAGAACACCCGUGGCGAAGGCGGCUCUCUGGGACGGUACUGACGCUGAGACGCGAAAGCGUGGGGAGCGAACAGG